rnacentral:lncRNA from 12 species
AUGGAGCCUUCCUCCUCCUGGGGUGCAGGAGCCUUCCUCCUCCUGGGGUGCAGCGGCCUUCCUCCUACGACCGAGGCGUCCUUCCUCCUCCAGAGGCCGCAGGCUUCCUCCUCCGGGCGAGGAGGACUCCCUCCUCCGGGAGCUGCGGCCUUCCUCCUCCAAACGAGGCAUCCUUCCUCCUCGGGGCACUGCGGGCCUCCUCUCGGGGUGCAGCGGGCUUCCUCCUACGAACGAGGCAUCCUUCCUCCUCCCAAUGACGCGUCCUUCUUCUUCCAGGGGCUGCGUCCUUCCUCCUCCAGGGGCCGCAGGCUUCCCCCUCAAGCAAGGCGUCCUUCCUCCUGGGGGGCCGCGGCCUUCCUCCUCGGGGAGCGGGGCCUCCUCCUAGCAGUGCUGCAGGCCUCUUCCUCCAAGCAGGCGUCCAUCCUCCCCGAGAAAGGCGUCCUUCCUCUUCCAGGGCCUGGGGGCUUCCUCCCUGGGGCUGCGGCCUUCCUCCUCGGGCGUUGGCGUCCUUCCUCCUCCAGGCGAGGGGUCCUUCCUCCAGGCACUGCAGACUGCAUCCUCCGGGCGCUGGGGGCGUCCCCCUCCGAGCCAGGCGUCCUUCUUCCUCCAGGCUCUGCGGCCUUCCUCCUCCUAGUGAGGCGUCCCUCCUCCAUGGCCUGUGGGCUUCCUCCUCCGAGCAAGGCGUCCUUCUUCCUCCAGGGGCUGCGUCCUUCCUCCUCGGGGAGCGGGGGGCUUCCUCCUCGCGGCGCUGCAGGCUUCCUCCUCCCAGCAAGGCGUCCUUCCUCUUCCCGGGUCUGGGGGCUUCCUCCUGGGAGCAGGCAUCCUUCCUCCUCGGGGGCUGCGCCCUUCCUCUUCCAGGCGCCGCGGCCUUCCUCCUAUGACCGAGGUGUCCUUCCUCCUCGGGGGCUGCGUCCUUCCUCCUGCGAGCGAGGCGUCCUUCCUCCUCCUUGGAGCACUGGGGCUUCCUCCCCCGGGCGCUGCGGCCUCCUCCCCCGGGCGGGGUCCGCACCCCUGCGGCCCGCUUCUCCCAUCAUCACGCAGGCGGCGCCCCCAGAGGCCGCGGGAAGCAGUCGGCAAGGCCCAGCCCGGCCGCGCCCCGACCCAGCCCGAGCUCCCCCGUGGAGCAGGGACCUGACGCUCGCGCCCUGUGCUUGGACGUUACGAGGACGCGCGUCCCGGAGCCGAACCGCCGAGGUCAGCGCAGCCCCCAGCGCCCCAGGGACCCGACCUCGACGUGACCCAGCGCUGCACCCAGCGCCCAAGGCCCGGCUCCUCCAGGGCACUCGGUCUUCACGAGCAGAGGUAACUGGAAGGAGAGCGGGUGUCGCGCGCUGUGUCGUCUGGUUUCCUACGCUUACAUAG